GGGGACGAUAGCAGCGUCUUGUGGGAGAGACCCCAUCUCAGGUUCUGGCGUGCUGUUGGGAGGAGAGUUGGCGAGUGAGGACAUCACCAUCCUGGGCUUCAGCUGCACAGCAAAGGCAGGGCGUUGCUAUGACAGCAGUCGAUUAAAUCAGACCCUGCUCCAAAAGUCACUCAAGAAGGCGUCAGGGUCUGGGCUUUUCAGUCUCUUCCCGAGCGGCUCUGACUCUGCCUCCAGGUCGACUAGGUGCCAGCAGCCCCGUCCCCGGUGGUCAUGGCGAUCUAGACGC